rnacentral:rRNA from 1 species
UACGUAGGUGGCAAGCGUUGUCCGGAUUUACUGGGCGUAAAGGGCGUGCAGGCGGUCUGUUAAGUGCAGGGUGAAAGCUCCCGGCUCAACUGGGAGAGGUCCUUGCAUACUGGCGGACUUGAGGGGGGUAGAGGAAAGUGGAAUUCCCGGUGUAGUGGUGAAAUGCGUAGAUAUCGGGAGGAAUACCGAUGGCGAAGGCAGGUCUCUGGGCUGACACUGACGCUCAUGCACGAAAGCGUGGGGAGCAAACAGG